UCAAGUUAUUAAGGGUGCAGGGCGGAUGCCUUGGCACUAGGAGCCGAUGAAGGACGUGAUAAGCUGCGAUAAGCUUCGGGGAGUUGCACGUAAACUUUGAUCCGAAGAUUUCCGAAUGAGGAAACUCACUUAGAGUAAUGUCUAAGUAUCGUUAAGUGAAUACAUAGCUUAGCGAGGGGAACCCGGGGAACUGAAACAUCUAAGUACCCGGAGGAAGAGAAAGAAAUUCGAUUCCGUAAGUAGCGGCGAGCGAACGCGGAACAGGCCAAACCAAUGAAGUUUACUUCGUUGGGGUUGCGGACAUACAACAUGGAUGCAAUAUCGUAAAUGAAGAGAGUUGGAAAGCUCCGCCAUAGAAGGUAAUAGCCCUGUAGUUGAAACGAGAAAGCUACUAGUAUGAUCCAGAGUACCACGGGACACGUGAAACCCUGUGGGAAGCAGGAGGGACCAUCCUCCAAGCCUAAAUACUACCUAGUGACCGAUAGCGCAUAGUACCGUGAGGGAAAGGUGAAAAGAACCCCGGGAGGGGAGUGAAAUAGAACCUGAAACCCUGCACUUACAAGCUGUGGGAGCACAUUACUUGUGUGACCGCGUACUUUUUGUAGAACGGGCCAACGAGUUACGUUAAGUAGCAAGGUUAAGCACUUAAGGUGUGGAGCCGUAGCGAAAGCGAGUCUUAAAUGGGCGAUUAAGUUACUUGGCGUAGACCCGAAACCGGGCGACCUAUCCAUGAGCAGGUUGAAGCGAAAGUAAAAUUUCGUGGAGGACCGAACCCACGAGCGUUGAAAAGCUCGGGGAUGACUUGUGGAUAGCGGUGAAAUUCCAAUCGAGCCCGGAGAUAGCUGGUUCUCCCCGAAAUAGCUUUAGGGCUAGCCUCAAGCGUAGAGAAACGGAGGUAGAGCACUGAAUGUCCUAGGGGGUAUUGCACUUACCGAAGACUAUCAAACUCCGAAUGCCGUUUUCUUUUACUUGGGAGUCAGACUGUGGGUGAUAAGAUUCAUAGUCAAAAGGGCAACAGCCCAGAUCGUCAGCUAAGGUCCCUAAAUGUACGUUAAGUGGUAAAGGAUGUGGGAUUGCACAGACAACCAGGAUGUUGGCUUAGAAGCAGCCACUCAUUUAAAGAGUGCGUAAUAGCUCACUGGUCGAGUGAUCCUGCGCCGAAAAUUUCCGGGGCUAAAACGUACUACCGAAGCUACGGCAUCAUUUAUGAUGGGUAGGGGAGCUUCGUAUGCAGGCUGAAGCAUGACCGUAAGGACAUGUGGACAGUAUACGAGUGAGAAUGUUGGCAUGAGUAGCGAGACGUGGGUGAGAAUCCCACGGGCCGUAAACCCAAGGUUUCCAGGGGAAGGUUCGUCCGCCCUGGGUUAGUCGGGACCUAAGCCGAGGCCGAAAGGCGUAGGUGAUGGACAACAGGUUGAUAUUCCUGUACCGCCAAUAAGCGUUUGAGAGAUGGAGUGACACAGUAGGAUAAGCUAACCGUACUGUUGGUUAUGUACGGCUAAGCAUUGAGGCAGUCUAAAUAGGCAAAUCCGUUUAGACAAUGCUAGGAUGUGAUGGGGAAGCCCUUCGGGGCGAAGUAGCUGAUUUCACACUGUCAAGAAAAGCUUCUAUCGAGUUUAAAGGCGCCCGUACCGUAAACCGACACAGGUGGGUGAGGAGAGUAUCCUAAGGCCAGCGAGAGAACUAUUGUUAAGGAACUCGGCAAAAUGACCCCGUAACUUAGGGAGAAGGGGUGCCUGUCUAUGACAGGCCGCAGAGAAUAGGCCCAAGCGACUGUUUACCAAAAACACAGGUUUCUGCUAAGUCGCAAGACGAUGUAUAGGAGCUGACGCCUGCCCGGUGCUGGAAGGUUAAGGGGAUCUGUUAGAGCAAUCGAAGCAGUGAACUUAAGCCCCAGUAAACGGCGGCCGUAACUAUAACGGUCCUAAGGUAGCGAAAUUCCUUGUCGGGUAAGUUCCGACCC
rnacentral:rRNA from 1 species